UUUUUAGGAACAAGGGAUUUUUUUCCCCUUGUGCUUUGUUUUCCCAGUCUUGAAUUAAUCACAGCUGUCUUUCACCAGCAAAGGUUAUUUUUGUCUAGCACGCUUUAAAUUAAAAAAAACAACAACAAAGAAAGCGAUCUGAUGUUCUUCAAGCCUCCAUAACCUUCCACAGAAAAGAGGGAAGCGUGAGCUCUGUGCAGCUAAGAAUCCAGCUUUUAAUUAUAUCUUUCUUGUGUUUACAUGAACUUUAGUUUGCAUUUCAGAAGCCUUAUGGAAAGAUUCCUGCGGCGGACCCCGGAGUAGUGGCGAAUUUCUCCAUCAAGGUGAAGAAGCCAGUGAAGACAGUCAAUGAAAACCAAGGAGUGAUGUGAUUUUAUUUACAAUUUCAAGUUAACACUUGGUGGAAGUUAGAGGACAGAUUUCAAAAGUGAAAGCCAGAAGGAUGAAGGACGUGUGUCUCUCCUGGAGUGACUCAGCAAAGCCAACUGGCGCACAAUCCUCAGGAAGUGCCUACUGGGUUAAAAGAAACCUCACAGCUGCUCUGUGCUGCCUUUAUUACUGGUUAUGGACCACCUUCGUGGAGCGACUCGAGGUCUCCACAGGUCAGAAACCUUUGCCCCAGUGCUGCCCCUGUUCCGGUUUAACUUUAGUCGGUGGCCAAGACUGUCACGUCCCUGUCUCACCCUAGUCAAAAGGUUUUCAGUCCAAAUGGCACCCUAGGGUCCAAAAUGACUUCCAGUGCUUGAGUUCUUAAACCUCUUCCCGGCCAUGAUCAAGG